rnacentral:misc_RNA from 1 species
GAUGAGAGUGUUAGACUUAUUGCCCAUGGGAUGGCUGCAAAGUCUCCUCUUGCUGUUACUGGGACAAAAGCUGUCCUCUUAAGAAGCAGGGACUUAAAUUUAGAACAAGGAUUGGAUUAUGUUGCAACUUGGAAUUCUGCAAUGCUUUUAUCUGAUGAUCUAACUGAAGCUGUCAAAGCACAAAUCCAGAAAAGAAACCCUGUCUUUUCCAAGCUUUAACUUUGCUUUGAUGGCUUAUGCUAGACUCUGCAUCUCUUUUGUACUUUCCC